rfam:Aedes albopictus isolate Foshan contig46596, whole genome shotgun sequence.
UGCCCUGCAACUCCUAUCCCUACCUCCACGCGGUACCGGCCGGAAACUAUGAGCAACCUUAGGGAAGA